rnacentral:rRNA from 1 species
ACUCAAAUGAAUUGACGGAAGUUCGCACAAGCAGUGGAGCAUGUGGUUUAAUUCGAUAUAACGCGGGUAACCUUACUAGUUCUUGUAUAUUAUUUAAUUUCCUUGUAGAAGGGAAUGUAUACAUUUGAUACGUAUAGGAAAAAUGGAUAUUUUAUUACAGGUACUGCAUGGCUGUCGUCAGUUCGUGUUCUAAGAUGUUUGGUUAAGUCCAGGAACGAACGCAACCCCUUAUAUUGUUUGUUAUAUAUAAUUAUUUGUGUAAGAAGGUGUAUAUUAGAGGACAACGUAGACUGCUUUUGAAAAAAAGAGGAAGGUAGGGAGAAUGUCAAGUCAGUAUGGUCUUUAUGAACUGGGCUACACACGUGCUACAAUGGCAGGGACAAAGGGCAACGAAAGCGUGAGCUUUAGUAAAUCUCUUAAAAGCUGUCUUAGUUCGAAUUGUUCUCUGUAAUUCGGGAGCAUGAAGGUGGAAUUGCUAGUAAUCGUGGAUUAGAACGUUACGGUGAAUAAGUACUCGAGCUUAGUACACACCGCCCGU